AUACGUAGGGGGCGAGCGUUGUCCGGAAUGAUUGGGCGUAAAGGGCGUGUAGGCGGCCUGUUAAGUCUGAAGUGAAAGUCCUGUUUUCAAGAUGGGAAUUGCUUUGGAUACUGGCGGGCCUGAGUGUAGGAGAGGGGGUUAGAAUGUCCCGUGUAGCGGGGGAAUGCGUAGAGAUCGGGAGGAACACCAGUGGCGAAGGCGGGUAACUGGGCUGCAACUGACGCUGAGGCGCGAAAGUGUGGGGAGCAAACAGGAUUAGAUACCCUGGUAGUCCACACUGUAAACGAUGAAUGCUAGGUGUAGGGGGUAUCGACCCCUUCUGUGCCGCAGUAAACACAAUAAGCAUUCCGCCUGGGGAGUACGGCCGCAAGGUUGAAACUCAAAGGAAUUGACGGGG
rnacentral:rRNA from 1 species